rnacentral:rRNA from 1 species
UACGGGGGGGGCAAGCGUUGUUCGGAAUUACUGGGCGUAAAGGGCUCGUAGGCGGCCAACUAAGUCGGAUGUGAAAUCCCCAGGCUUAACCUGGGAACUGCAUCCGAUACUGGAUGGCUUGAAUUCGGGAGAGGGAUGCAGAAUUCCAGGUGUAGCGGUGAAAUGCGUAGAUAUCGGGAGGAACACCAGUGGCGAAGGCGGCUAUCUGGGCUGCAACUGACGCUGAGGCGCGAAAGCGUGGGGAGCGAACAGG